rnacentral:rRNA from 1 species
GAUGAACGCUGGCGGCGUGCCUAAUACAUGCAAGUCGAGCGAACGGACGAGAAGCUUGCUUCUCUGACGUUAGCGGCGGACGGGUGAGUAACAUGUGGAUAAUCUACCUAUAAGACUGGGAUAACUUCGGGAAACCGGAGCUAAUACCGGAUAAUAUUUUGAACCGUAUGGUUCAAAAGUGAAAGACGGUCUUGCUGUCACUUAUAGAUGGAUCCGCGCUGCAUUAGCUAGUUGGUAAGGUAACGGCUUAGCAAGGCAACGAUGCAUAGCCGACGUGUGAGACGGAUCGCCGGCACUGGAACUGAAACACGGACCUGACUCCUACGGGAGGCAGCAGUAGGGAAUCUUAGGCAGUGGGGGAAAGCCUAGCGGAACAGCGGCGAGUGAGUUAUAGAGGUCUUGGGAGCGUGAAGAUCUGUUAUUAGGUAAAAACAUAUUUGUAAGGAGCUGUACACAGAUUGACGGUACCUAAUAAGAAAGCAACGGCUAACUACGUG